CUCCUACGGGAGGCAGCAGUGGGGAAUUUUGGACAAUGGGCGCAAGCCUGAUCCAGCCAUGCCGCGUGCGGGAAGAAGGCCUUCGGGUUGUAAACCGCUUUUGUCGGGGAAGAAACGGUGGAGGUUAAUACCUUCUGCUAAUGACGGUACCCGAAGAAUAAGCACCGGCUAACUACGUGCCAGCAGCCGCGGUAAUA
rnacentral:rRNA from 1 species